rnacentral:rRNA from 1 species
CUGGUUGAUCCUGCCAGUAGUGAUAUGCUUGUUUCAAAGAUUAAGCCAUGCAUGUCUAAGUAUAAGCGAACUUAUACAGUGAAACUGCGGAUGGCUCAUUAAAACAGUUUGAAUUUAUUUGAUGAAUGUAUGAGAAUACUACUUGGAUAACCGUAGUAAUUCUAGAGCUAAUACAUGCAACGACGCCCGACCGUUUCACUACGGAAGGGCUGUAUUUAUUGGAUACCAAAACCAUCCUUCCCUCGGGAAGUUUUGUUUGAUGAUUCACAAUAACUGAUCGGAUCGCCACUGUGGUGGCGACAGGUCAUUCAACAUUCUGCCCUAUCAGCUUUCGAUGGUUGUGUAGUGGACAACCAUGGCCAUAACGGGUAACGGAGAAUCAGGGUUCGAUUCCGGAGAAGGAGCUUGAGAAUUGGCUACUACAUCUAAGGAAGGCAGCAGGCGCGCAAAUUACCCAAUCCCGAUUCGGGGAGGUAGUGACAAAAAAUAACAAUACCGGGCCUUUUUGGGCUUGGUAAUUGGAAUGAGGGAGAGUUAAACGGACCAUCGAGUAUCCAUUGGAGGGCAAGUCUGGUGCCAGCAGCUGCGGUAAUACCAGCUCCAAUAGCGUAUAUUAAAGUUGUUGCAGUUAAAAAGCUCGUAGGUGGACUUGUGUGCGCUGUCCGCGGGUGGCCUGCGCCCAAAAGGGCGUUUCGGUUCGGCCCCGGUGGCGCCUUGAAAUCUGCAGCUGGGGGGACGUUGGCCUUAACUGGUCGGCGACCGCACGCCGGCUGCUCGGUUACUGUGAGAAAAUUAGAGUGUUCAAGGCAGGCAUUGGGUGCAAUUGAAUACAUUAGCAUGGAAUAAUAAAAUAUGGCUCCUGCCGUAUUUUGUUGGUUUUGACUGGUGGGAGUAAUGAUUGAUAGGGACGGUUGGGGGUGCUAGUAUUGAGCGGCCAGAGGUGAAAUUCAUGGAUUCGCUCAAGACUAACUUAUGCGAAAGCAUUCACCAAGGACGUCCUCUUUAAUCAAGAACGAAAGUUGGGGGAUCGAAGACGAUCAGAUACCGUCGUAGUCUCAACCAUAAACUAUGUCGACUUGGGAUCGGCGGUAGUUUUUUCAUUAAGACACUGUCGGGACCACGGGAGAAAUCAAAGUGUCUGGACUCUGGGGGAAGUAUGGUCGCAAGGCUGAAACUUGAAGGAAUUGACGGAAGGGCACCACCAGG